rnacentral:lncRNA from 1 species
UUACACUUAAAUAAUUCAGCAGAGAUCUCAGGCCAUAGUAGAAUGUGUCUAGAAUCAGCCCUCCUGGUAAACAUCUUUUUAUUUUUCUCUUCUCCUCUCAUUUUAUUCAAUAUGCUUCUUUCUUUUUUCCCGUAACCACAAGGUAAUGUAGAUGAAAACAGAGUGCGUAAUGUAUUAAAGAGAAAUAACUUUACACAGAGAGCUAUAGCCAAGUCCCCCGAAACCAGACAGGCUACCCAAGAAUAGCUAAAAGAGCACACUCACCUGUGUGGCAAAAUAGUGAGAAGAUUCAUGAGUAGCGGUGACAAGGCUACCGAGAGCCUGGUGAUAGCUGGUUGUCCAAGAUGGAAUCUUAAUUCAAAUUUAAACUUACCCACAGAAUUACUAAAUCUUCCUGUAACCCUGCAUUAAAAAUUUUGGUUGGGGUGAACUUGGAGCAUAAUUCAACCUCCGAACAACCUAAACUAAGACCUCACUAGUCUAAGCGAGUUAAUACACGUUGACUCAAUAAUUUGAUCAAUAGAAUAAGUUACCCUAGGGAUAACAACACAAUCCUAUUCUAGGUCCAUAUCGACAAUAAGGUUUACAACCUCAAUGUUGGAUCAGGACGUCCUAAUGGUGUAGCCGCUAAUAAGGGUUCGUUUGUUCAAUGAUCAAAGUCCUACAUGAUCUGAGUUCAGACCGGAGUAAUCCAGGUCAGUUUCUAU